rnacentral:siRNA from 1 species
AGCAUGCUUUCCAUCCUCUUACUC